rnacentral:misc_RNA from 1 species
GUUUCAGGUAUGAUUCUUAAACUUAGAAUCCUAUAACCUUACAGUUCAUCCACUUCUUGCACUUCUCUUUCCAUGAAAAUGACUUAUUUACAAGUUCAUCCUCCAAUUUUUCAUAUUUGAUCGGCUGAUUUCUUCUAAAUUGAGAAAUUUCUGUUAAGAGUUAAUCCGUGUUUUAUAUUUUAUUUUAUUUUUAUUUCUACAUUUUUGUGGCUUGUAUAUUU